GACGAAGGUGGCGAGCGUUGUUCGGAAUCACUGGCAUAAAGCGCACGUAGGCGGCUAGGUAAGUCGGAUGUGAAAUACCUCGGCUCAACCGAGGAACUGCGUCCGAUACUGCCUGGCUUGAGGUCCGGAGGGGAGAGUGGAAUUCCCGGUGGAGCGGUGAAAUGCGUAGAGAUCGGGAAGAACGCCGGCGGCGAAAGCGACUCUCUGGUCGGAAUCUGACGCUGAGGUGCGAAAGCUAGGGAGCAACGGG
rnacentral:rRNA from 1 species